ACAAAGUUGGCAGAAUAAUGUAAAUAAUUUAGGUUUAUUAAAUAAGAUGAUUAUCUUACUUUGUA
rnacentral:tRNA from 1 species